CGAAUGCUAGGCCGCAUCCGCGGCAUGAAGUAAUGAAAGCUCCAUCCAGCUUUGUGACCACCCUUAGGUAGGUCAGGAGGUGAGAUUCUCGCAGGACGUGUUCUUUUUUCAUGACAAUUGCUCUUUUUAAGCUUGAUUUGGGACAACAUAGUGGAGGAGCUCGCUUGGCAUGCGACUUUCCUCCGUGGCAGUCAAACUCCGCCCCCCGGAAUUCGAUGUUCUGAGCCAGUGUCAGGAUAAGUUUUUCCCAGUUUAUAAGGAAACCUAGGUUUUGCGACAGCGUCAGAUUCCAUGUGAGAUGUGUGUGGAGAAGGUCAGUAGACUGGGCUAGAAGGAGGAUAUCGUCUAGAUAGAUGAUAAGCCGAACACCUCAACUUCAAGCAGGGCAAUCACGGGUUUCAUAACUUUUGUGAAACACCAUGGGGCUGAUGAUAGUCCGAACGGUAGGCAUGUGAACCUUCAUUUCCUUCCUUUCCACGUAAAUUGGAGAAAAUCUUGGUAUCUGUCCGGUAUAGGCAUCAUGAGGUAUGUAUCCUGGUCUAACUUGGCCAUCCAAUCUUUGGGUUGUAGAAGGUCACGCAGGCAGUGUAUGCCUUCCAUUUUGAAAUGGUGGUAGGACACGUAGGCGUUCAAUUGUUUCAAAUUUAUGACUGGCCUCGUUCCUCCGCCUUUCUUUGGUACCAGGAAGAGGUUGCGGACGUACCCC